CAGAUCAUUUCUAUAGUUGAGCUUUCAUUUACACUGAAUUGUUAUACCGUGCGAUUCGGUAUGGUCUGA
rnacentral:tRNA from 1 species